rnacentral:tRNA from 1 species
UGGCCUAAUGGAUAAGGCAUUGGCUUUCUAAGCCAGAAAUUGUGGGUUCAAGUCCCAC